CCUACGGGGGGCAGCAGUGGGGAAUAUUGGGCAAUGGGCGCAAGCCUGACCCAGCAACGCCGCGUGAAGGAAGAAGGCUUUCGGGUUGUAAACUUCUUUUGUCAGGGAAGAGUAGAAGACGGUACCUGACGAAUAAGCCACGGCUAACUACGUGCCAGCAGCCGCGGUAAUACGUAGGUGGCAAGCGUUGUCCGGAUUUACUGGGUGUAAAGGGCGUGUAGCCGGGUUGACAAGUCAGAUGUGAAAUCCUGCGGCUUAACCGCAGAACUGCAUUUGAAACUGUUGAUCUUGAGUACUGGAGAGGCAGACGGAAUUCCGAGUGUAGCGGUGAAAUGCGUAGAUAUUAGGGGGGACACCAGUGGCGAAGGCGGUCUGCUGGACAGCAACUGACGGUGAGGCGCGAAAGCGUGGGGAGCAAACAGGAUUAGAUACCCUUGUAGUC
rnacentral:rRNA from 1 species